AACGAACGCUGGCGGCGUGGAUAAGACAUGCAAGUCGAACGAUUACUAGUGGGUAGCAAUAUUCGCUAGUGAGAGUGGCGCAAGGGUGCGUAACACGUGGGUAAUUUGCCGUGAAGUCUGGGAUAACUUGCUGAAAGGCGAGCUAAUACCGGAUGUGAUUACUGGAAGGCAUCUUCUGGUAAUUAAAGUCGGGGACCGUAAGGCCUGACGCUUCUCGAUAAGCCCGCGGCCUAUCAGCUAGUUGGUGAGGUAACGGCUCACCAAGGCUAAGACGGGUAGCUGGUCUGAGAGGACGACCAGCCACACUGGAACUGAGACACGGUCCAGACACCUACGGGUGGCAGCAGUCGAGAAUUUUUCUCAAUGGGCGAAAGCCUGAAGGAGCGACGCCGCGUGGGGGAUGAAUGGCUUCGGCCCGUAAACCCCUGUCAUUUGCGAUCAAACCUCACGACCUAACACGUCGUGAGCUGAUAGUAGCGGAAGAGGAAGGGACGGCUAACU
rnacentral:rRNA from 1 species